UUAUCAGCAUCCUCUUGGGAGCUGAAUUUACAGAUGGAGCUGUUAGCUGACUUUCAUCGCUUGAGAGAUCAUCUUUCCUUUACCUUACAGAAUCCCAUCCAGGAUAGCCACAUGGUAUCUCUUUAGACUUCUUCAAUGUGAAAUUUUCUCAGAGUUUGCUUUGAAGAGAUAUCACCGAUGAUGUUUCCACAGAGGUUUCUUGUAAGUAGGACUUCUUAUGAAAUUGCUGUUCCAAGGCAUAUACCCGGCUGACACACUUUUAGAGCAGUAUGGAUGAGAGAACAGCAAGUGAAUGAAGUGAAAGGAAAAAUGAAAGUUAUGAACCAUAUUUUCUUGGAGAGAAGUUUUGGAGGCAAACUAUGUGAUGUGCAAAAUAAAUGAAUUCCAGCA